rnacentral:rRNA from 1 species
GAUAAACGCUGGCGGCGCACAUAAGACAUGCAAGUCGAACGGACUUAACUCGAAGUUUACUUUGAGAGCGGUUAGUGGCGGACUGGUGAGUAACGCGUGAGGAACCUGCCUUGGAGUGGGGAAUAACACAGUGAAAAUUGUGCUAAUACCGCAUAAUGCAGUUGGGCCGCAUGGCUCUGACUGCCAAAGAUUUAUCGCUCUGAGAUGGCCUCGCGUCUGAUUAGCUAGUUGGUGGGGUAACGGCCCACCAAGGCGACGAUCAGUAGCCGGACUGAGAGGUUGGCCGGCCACAUUGGGACUGAGACACGGCCCAA